UACAGAGGUCCCAAGCGUUGUUCGGAUUCAUUGGGCGUAAAGGGUGCGUAGGUGGCGCCGUAAGUCGGGUGUGAAAUUUCGGAGCUUAACUCCGAAACUGCAUUCGAUACUGCGGUGCUUGAGGACUGGAGAGGAGAUUGGAAUUCACAGUGGAGCAGUGAAAUGCGUAGAUAUUGUGAGGAACACUAGUGGCGAAGGCGGGUCUCUGGACAGUUCCUGACGCUGAGGCACGAAGGUCAGGGGGAGCAAACGGGG
rnacentral:rRNA from 1 species